rnacentral:lncRNA from 1 species
AUGAAGGAAUAUGUCAGAGGAGUGGAGAUAAAACAGGAUGGCCGAUGUCCCACCUCCUGCGGCCUCUCACAUCAGAGUUGCUUGGAUUUUGGAUACAAGAAGAGUGUGGAAAAGAAUGCUAUCUACCCAGAGUUUCCCAUGGCUGAAAGACAAGGACAGGUCACAAAUUAUUGUGAGAACCAUUCUUCAAGGUUAAGGGAAGAGCAUAAUUACAGAGUGUGUCUCAAAAUAUUAUCACCCAGUUGGAUGACUGUCAACAAGGCCUCGCUCUUCAACCUGAUAAAAAAAGAGAAGAAGAAAAAGAGAGAGAAAGAGAAAGAGAGAGGAAGCGGAAGAGGAAGAGGAAGAGGAAGAGGAAGAGGAAGAGGAAAAGAGGAA